AAAUGUCGGUCGCAAAUGGAACAAAAUGAUCACAACUUAAACUAGAUUACUCACAAAAUAGAAAAUAAUUUGAAUAAAAAGGAAGGAAGGUAUAUAUAGCAACAGCCUUCUUAUCCUAAAAGAAGCAAAGAAAGGUACAUAUAGCAACAGCCUUCAUAUCCUAAAAAUUCAUGGGUCAAAAUAAGACACAGGUAAGACCAAAAGAAAAAGACAAUACACAACCACUCUAUUAUACUUGCCAAAUUUAACAAGACUCCAUGAAGAUAUGCAUCUUUAAAAGAAAAUUGCAUUUUGAAGACCAUACUAUUCAAUUAUUUGCUAUUUAACAAUCAAAACUUAUUUAACAAUAAAAAUACAAUUAUGAAGCUUAGAAAUUGCUUUUUAUUAGAUCAAUUU
rnacentral:misc_RNA from 1 species